CUACGGGGUGCUCCAGUGAGGAAUAUUGCACAAUGGGGGGAACCCUGAUGCAGCAACGCCGCGUGGAGGAUGACGCACUUCGGUGUGUAAACUCCUUUUAUAUGUCAAGAAAAUGACGGUAGCAUAUGAAUAAGCACCGGCUAACUCCGUGCCAGCAGCCGCGGUAAUACGGAGGGUGCAAGCGUUACUCGGAAUCACUGGGCGUAAAGGACGCGUAGGCGGGUUGGAAAGUCAGGUGUGAAAUCCUACAGCUUAACUGUAGAACUGCACUUGAAACUUCUAAUCUAGAGUAUGGGAGGGGGAGAUGGAAUUAGUGGUGUAGGGGUAAAAUCCGUAGAUAUCACUAGGAAUACCUAAAGCGAAGGCGAUCUCCUGGAACAUUACUGACGCUAAGGCGUGAAAGCGUGGGGAGCAAACAGGAUUAGAUACCCCCGUAGUC
rnacentral:rRNA from 1 species